GCCUAGCCGUAACACACAAUUAAACUACCAAUUGUUCGCCAAACAACUACGAGCCAUACUUGAAACUUAAAAGACUUGACGGUACUUCAUCACGGCCUAGAGGAGCCUGUCUAAUAACCGACAAUCCACGAUUAACCCAGCCCCUCCUAGCCCAACAGUCUAUAUACCACCGUCGCCAGCUUACCUUGUAAAAGAAAUAAAGUGAGCUAAAUAGUACAACACUAAAACGACAGGUCGAGGUGUAACUUAUGAAGGGGACCAAGAUGGGCUACAUUCUCCAACCGAGAAUACGAAUAACACUAUGAAACUAAUGUUUGAAGGCGGAUUUAGCAGUAAGAUAAGAAUAGAACACUUAACUGAACACAACGCAAUGAAGUGCGUACACACCGCCCGUCAUCCCUGCCACCACAAUAUAAACCUUAAUAAACUAACCUAAAAAAUCAAACAGGGCAAGUCGUAACAUGGUAAGUGUACUGGAAAGUGUACUUAGAAA
rnacentral:rRNA from 1 species